ACAAACAUUAAACAAACAAUGUUUAAUAUUCAUAGAUGAAAAAUUAUGCCAUCAGGCCUCCUAUAAACAAGGCACUUUUGUUAAUUUCUAAUUGAUUGGGAGAGUGGCAUCAUUGCACUAUAAUUGAUUUUUCUCUCUUCUAUUUUGUGCAGCCCAGUGGUUUUUUGUGUGGUUUGCUACUAUAAAGUGAUUCCUUAAUUUAAUUUGUAGAAGCUGAAGAGCUUAUUGUGUUUUAGCAGUCCCAAAUAUUUAUUUACUAGCAUGAACUUGAUGUUUUUUUAAUCUCAGGCUUUAAGAAAAGAGAGUAAGUCUGAUCAGAAAUAAUACAGUAGAAAUUAUGCAAAGAUUUAUUUGUCAGCUAUCUUUUAAAAUUGAUUUUCCCUGAAGCUCAAUUGUUGCUGAAGAAAGUUAUAGAACACAGUGACAAAAUGGAAAAGGUAGAAACAAAUCAAGGUUGCCAAAAAGAAAGAUACUCUUAAAUUAUGCCUUGCAACAAAUUAGGGCUCAAGGGAGUGUGACUAAUACCUGAUAUUUAAAAUGAUCUAAGCUACUGAAAGGCUACAUGUAUAUGGAUGAAAUUCCAAAUGUAGACUUUGUAAAAAUUCCAAACCAAUAAUCAUGUUGGUUGUACAAUACAUAUAAAGUAGGGUAUUGAUAUUGUUGAAACAUAAUUAAAGAGGAAAACUGAGGUACUGUAAUUUAUUUUUAUUGUGAUUUAUUUUUUAAAUUGUUUUGGCAUUGUAAUUUAAAACAAAUUGCAAAGAGGCUUAGUGACUUUGAUGAUAAAGUGGACACAGUGCCAUUUACUAAAUAUGUCUGAUAUCUGCAGUUUGGUUUCCUUUAAGAAAUUUCAAUUUUUAUAAUAAACACAUACAAAAAACCAACGUCCAAUACACAUGUGAUUGCUGAACAUUUGAAGUGUGUUUGGUGAAUGAGAAAAUGAAUUUUUAAUUUUGUUUAAUUUACAUAAAUAUAAAUUUAAAAAUGAAAUUAUUUCAACAUUUUUAAAUGUGUUUAGACAAUAUGAUGUAUAUGUUAUAUUUUCAACCUUAAAUUUUAUGGGAUGUAAAUAUAGAUCAAAUAAUUCUAAUGAAGAACUAACCUCCAGGUUAAGAUGCCCAGAAAUGAAAAAUACAUAACCAGUUUCAAAACCAAGUUAAAGUGAUAAAUUAUUUGAAAGAAAUUAUAAUUCUGAUUACAUAUAGUAUCUAUAUACUGGGUUAAAGUAAUUUUAAUCAUUUAUUUUUAAUGUAGCUGCUGAGACGAUUAGAAUUCCAUGUGUGGAUCAUAUAUUUUUCCAUUGGAUAAUACUGACUGAAACAGACUACUGAUUACUGAAUUUAAAUAUAUUAUUAGGACUGUAUUCUAGGACAGUAUAUGCUAAUUUAUUUUUUCUCUUAUUUCCACACUCAUUCCCAACCCACCCCUGCUCCCCUCAUACAUCAACAAAUGGGAGAGGCAGGUCUGUGCACGCCCUACCGAGGUCCUGAGUCAUGCAGAAGAUGUCGAAUCACCCUGCUGCAGACAGGCAGGUCUGCCCACACCCUGUCUAGGUCCCCAGUAACGUGGAACACACACCGAAUCAGCCCGCUGCAGACAGGAAGGUCUGUGCAUGCCCUACCGAGGUCCUGAGUCACGCGGAAGACAUUGAAUCAUCCCACUGCAGACAGGCAGCCACCUGAUUCCACAUUACCAAGGUGCAGAGGACACCAGACCACCAGACCAAGAUUCUGCAAACUCCAGCGUCCCUGAGAGAGCGAGGGGAGGUCACCAGAGUGAGGCCUGGGGGCCUGCAGGGCCCCACUGAAGGAGUUGGUGCAGCCAGGCCCAGGGUCCCAGCAGCUGCCCGAGAACUGUUACAUCUACUGCAUGAAGCUGGCCAGUACCGAGUUAUGCCGAGUUACCAGGCUGGAUUCAAACUCUGGUGUCCUCCUGCCCUGGCCUCCUGAGUACCUGGGACCACAGGUGUUUACCACCUGCUACAGUGUAGAUUAAGAAUGACCCCAACUCUCCUGUGGUCACACAUGGGCCUUUCGGAAGGCCCUUCUGCCAUGCCCUUCUGUGUGGGAGCUUGUCAACCAAACUGCAAAUGUGAGCCAAAAUAAACCUCUCCUCCUUUAAGUUGUGAGUAUUGGGCAUUUUGUCCUAUCAAUGAAAAAGUGCCUACGCCACUACCAUAUCUGGCUAUUUAGUUAUUCUUGAUGUAAAAUUUCUAAGAUACUCUCAUUUAAAAAUACAUGAUUUUCUCCUAUGUAUAUGUGAAUUCUCACAUUUUUCGAAAAGUAACACAUUAAAUAACUAAUUACACAAACAUUUAUCAACUUAAGAAUGUACAUACAAGAGUGAAAUUUAUUUGCUUUGAGAGGACUGAUAGACGUAAACAGAUAAAUAGAUAAAAGAUAAACAAAUGCAGAUG